GGUGCUGUGGCUUAGUUGGGUUAAAGUGCCUGUCUAGUAAACAGGAAGAUCCUGGGUUUGAAUCCCAGCGGUGCCU